UACGGCCAUAUCAUGUUGAUACACCAGUUCUUGUACAAUCACUGAAGUUAAGCAAUGUUGAGCCUUAUCUGUACCUAGAUGGAUGACCUCUUGGGAAUACUAGGCGUU